GGGGGGUAGAAUUCCAGGUGUAGCGGUGAAAUGCGUAGAGAUCUGGAGGAAUACCGGUGGCGAAGGCGGCCCCCUGGACAAAGACUGACGCUCAGGUGCGAAAGCGUGGGGAGCAAACAGGAUUAGAUACCCUGGUAGUCCACGCCGUAAACGAUGUCUACUUGGAGGUUGUGCCCUUGAGGCGUGGCUUCCGGAGCUAACGCGUUAAGUAGACCGCCUGGGGAGUACGGCCGCAAGGUUAAAACUCAAAUGAAUUGACGGGGGCCCGCACAAGCGGUGGAGCAUGUGGUUUAAUUCGAUGCAACGCGAAGAACCUUACCUGGUCUUGACAUCCACAGAACUUUCCAGAGAUGGAUUGGUGCCUUCGGGAACUGUGAGACAGGUGCUGCAUGGCUGUCGUCAGCUCGUGUUGUGAAAUGUUGGGUUAAGUCCCGCAACGAGCGCAACCCUUAUCCUUUGUUGCCAGCGAUUAGG
rnacentral:rRNA from 1 species